GGUACGCGACUCCUAUCGGGAUCGUCGACACGUCGGGCGGCCUUGCUGGAUUAGUUUUACCUUUUACGAGAUAUCUUGUGCAUCGGGAUUCCGGUGAUGCUUUGGGUAAUCUCAGAGUUGAGGUUUUCCACCAGGGAAUCCGACGAGAUCGCGAGCUUCGUGAUUGAGGAUUUCUAUGCGGCUUGUGGUAAUUUGUGAUGGACUAGUUGGAGCACCCCUACAGGGUUAAAUCUUUUCGGAAAGCCGUGCCCGCGGUUAUGUGGCAACGUGGAAGCUUUGUUUAACACUGGUUCUAGAUAACUUGAAGUUAACUUAAUUAAAAUAUGCCCACUGUGUGCGUAACCGUGACUGUCUCUUUCGUGAGUUCUUUCUCCGAUCGAGAACACGGUGGGGUUAUGUCUGACGUAGGUAGGUGUUCAGGAUCAUUCUUUUGAUCACCAGUAGUACACGUCCGUUAUGCGUAGAUAUUCCCCCUCUUGUUUCUGGUACUCGUAAGUUAGCCACCAAAUAUAUG
rnacentral:lncRNA from 1 species